rnacentral:rRNA from 2 species
CCGCCUGGGGAGUACGGCCGCAAGGUUAAAACUCAAAUGAAUUGACGGGGGCCCGCACAAGCGGUGGAGCAUGUGGUUUAAUUCGAUGCAACGCGAAGAACCUUACCUGGUCUUGACAUCCACGGAAGAAUCCAGAGAUGGAUUUGUGCCUUCGGGAACCGUGAGACAGGUGCUGCAUGGCUGUCGUCAGCUCGUGUUGUGAAAUGUUGGGUUAAGUCCCGCAACGAGCGCAACCCUUAUCCUUUGUUGCCAGCGAUUAGGUCGGGAACUCAAAGGAGACUGCCAGUGAUAAACUGGAGGAAGGUGGGGAUGACGUCAAGUCAUCAUGGCCCUUACGACCAGGGCUACACACGUGCUACAAUGGCGCAUACAAAGAGAAGCGACCU